GUUAGUUUUGCAUUUGAUUCAAGUUUGGGUAUAUGUUUGGGAUUAAAAUCAAGUUGUGGGUUAGUUUUGGCAAAAAUUCCUAGUAAGAAAUGCUAUUGAUAGAGAAAUUCUUUCUAGUAAACAUAUUUUAAAAUUAGACUGUGUAGAUAUUGACAUAGUAAGAAAAUCACGCUUUCUGAUAUAUAGUCAUAGUCAAAUAUAUUAUACUUGUUUUAGUAUAUAUGCUUUGGAUAUUCUACCUUAUGCGAAUUUCAAAAAGAAAGAAAAAAAAAUCAUUUCCACUUUUAAAUAGUUGAAUUUUAGGAGAUAUAUAAAAUACCAUCAUAUAUAUAAACACAAACAUAGAACACAAAUUUUUAUAGAAAAUAAAAUUAAAGCACAUAGAAAAUUCUCCUACUAUCUCAAAUUGACAAAAUCUUAAUUUUUGUUGUUCUGAUAUUGAUCAUGGCCAAAUUAUCGUGUUCGUAUUUCUUCUUAUUCAUGUUUGUGUUUUCAGUAUUUGCGGUGGCUCAGGAAACUAAGGGAAAUCAAUUAUGUACUAAGAUCAUCGAUGAACAAAAUUAUUGCGAGGGUACGGAUUGUCGUCUAGCAUGUUAUACGGGGUACAAUGGAGUUGGAAAAUGUCUUACAAAUUCCAAAGCUGGUGGAAAACUUAGUUGUUUUUGUACUUAUAAUUGCUAGAAAAGAAAAAUUUUAAAUAAAAAUAUUGUAUAACUACAUAAGUCUUUAAUCUAUAUGAAUAAAAAAUGAGAAUUUCUUCAA